CUGACCUCCCACUGGUAUUGGUCCUUGAAGAUUGUUGUAUGCAACACUGAAUGAAGACAAGAAAUGGAGACUCUUUAGGGAUGCGGGAAUUCCACCAGAGAGAUUAUUGCCAGAGAGGUCAAGCUUUUCCAAAUUAGUCAUAUUAGAAAUUUGGUCUGGUAUGUUGCCAGAGAAUCUGUUUAUGCUGAGAUCCAGCACAUGAAUAAACUUCAAUUGGCCAAUCUCAACGGGAAUAUCACCACCGAGGGUAUUGUUUCUCAAGUAUAUUGCUGGUGGCAGGCUGGCUAGCUGAUUGUAUUGCAGGUAAGAAACGUUGUUGGGUCGAACAAAGACUGGCAACUCCAGAUAACUCUUGUCUACUUGAUCAGAACUCUGUUCUGAUGCUAGUCUUGGCAGUUGAGUAAGUUCCUUGGGGAAGCCUCCCCCAAGGAGGUUACUUGUCAAGUCUAAGUAGAAGAGGUUAGGAAGAGUCCCCAACCAACCUGGAAUUGAGCCUGUGAAUUGAUUGUACGACAGGUCUACUACCUCUAAGUUCUGCAGCUUAGCCAACCAGGUUGGAAUCUGACCAGUGAAUAGGCAACCACCCAGACCCAGAACCUGAAGAUUCUUGAAUCCUUCUGAAUCCACUAUGCUCUCAUCAUCUGGCAUUGCUUCAUUAAAGAAAUUUUUUGAUACAACGACGGUGCUUAGAUUCUUGCAACCCAUGAGAAUCCUGAUUGCUCCUGUGAAAUUAGUCAGGUUAUUCACCGACAGCGAGAGGAAGGAAAGUGAUUGUAACUGCACUAUGGCAGUCGGAAUUUGACCCCGCAGCUGGUUAUUGGCCAGUCGAACUGCGGUCAAGGAUUUACAUGAGAAAAGGCUUACUGGCAGGCUGCCGGUGAAGUUGUUGUCCCCAAGGUCCAGCGAAAUAAGUUGAGAGAGCGUCGAAAAGUCAAGGGAGGAGAGUUCACCUCUGAAGUAAUUCACCCUUAAAUUCAGUACCUUGAGUUUGGUGCAGUCGACCAGAGAUGGGGGUAGAGUGCCAAUCAGGUUGUUAACGUGCAGCUGCAGCUCUUCCAACAUCCUCAGCUUCCCAAUAUGCUGAGGAAUCAGGCCGUUCAAUCUGUUGCCAAAGAUUUUGAUAAUUCUGAGGUUGGUGAGGUUAAUGAUUCUAUCGUCAAUGGGUCCGGUGAGGGUAUUGCCGGGAAAAGAGAUUUCUUGGAGAGCCAUGGCAUCAUAGAUAUCAGUGGGCAGCGACCCUGAUAGAUUGUUGAAACCUGCACGCAAGACCUCCAGUUUGGAACACAAUCCAAAUCCUUGGGGAAUCAGGCCGUAGAAGUCAUUGAGUGAAAAAUCCAGGAUCUUGACAGAUGGUGAACUGGCACAAAUAGAAUCAGGAAUUGGGCCGAUGAAGCUGUUGUUGCUGAGAUUAAAAGCUGUCAAAUUCCAAGCUGACUGGAAAAAGGAAGAGCGUACUGUUCCAGUCAAGUGGUUGCCGGACAAAUUGACCGAUUGGAUUGCAUCAGGCAGGCUAUCAGAUGACGGUAGGUGUCCAGACAGCCGGUUAUAGCUCAAGUCAAUGAUCUGAAGUUGAUUGAAUGAGGUAAAGAAUCCAUCUGGGAUUGAACCAGAGAGCCAGUUGUGUGAUAGAUUGAGCUGAGAUAGAGCGGUGAGGUUUCGGACGGAUGGCAAAAUUGUCCCCUUGAGGCCUCUGAAAGGCAGCCAUAGACGGGUCACUUGAUCAUUGGCAUCACAGGCAAUGCCUUCCCAGAAGCAGCAGUCAACUGCAGAUGACCAAUUCAAAGGAGAUGGGCUGGAAAUGCCGAGUGAGAAGGACAAAAGGGAAUCUCGAUCCAGUUGGCUGCAAGAAGCAUGGUUGGGAUUGGGAAAACAAGAGAGAAUUACAGUAAACACCAGUAGGAAGACAUCCAAGAAGUGACAGCCUAAGGUUUUCAAUAGCCUCAUGAGGAUGGCUGUUUCUGAUUCUUGCUUUGAUUCCUUUGAUCCUUGUCUAAUUAUCAGCAAGGAAAGGGAGGAGGAGGAAGAAGAAGUAGAACAAGAAGAAGACAAAGCGAGCUGAAGAUGGGAAGAUACUCACAAUCCAUCAUGAGGAGCCUUGUUUUCCUGCUCUUCUCAUCCUGGUUUGUUUGUGCAGACUCUGGGUAGAAGAAGAAGAAGAAGAUAGAGAAAAAUAAUAGACGAGUGGUUGAUGUUGACACAGAGCAUUAACAAAAGCUUGGGUGUGAGUUCUGAUAAAGCGUUUACUUUUUUGGCAGGUGGACUUUCUCUUGGGAUAUUGCAUGCUAAAUUGAUGGCCCAAAUGAAAAGAAAAGCUUAUGAUGCAGGCAAGGAAAGAGAGAGGGACUCACCUCCCCAAACACAAAAUAUUGACUUUCUUUUUCUAAAUUGAUUGAUUUCACAAAGGUACAGACAGAGGUGGGAAGACUCGGCCAAAUACAGCUUUGAAUGCCCACACACACCUUAUUUUACUCCCCAAGUUGCUGUUUGUUUAGCAAAGCACCCACACUUAAAAAAAACAUUUUGGAGAUCAGACUUUUGCAGCCUUGAUGAAGGUCUAGUGCCCUUUUGUAUUCAGUUGGUGAGCAAUAUGUGUCCCUAUUAUUUUGGUUACACCAUAUGGACACAAUAUUUAUGCAUUAAAUCUGAUGGGUUGGAUUUGUCGUCACCCUUUGGAAAGUGGGAGGCGGGUGAUGGCGGGGAUUUCUUCAAGAAGCCAUGGAAGGUGUCUCCAAGUUCUCUAGGCAUCAGCACAAGUGCAGCAGAAGGGUGCGUGGUAUCUGGUUGAGAAGAGCAAGGCUGGUGCAAAACUGAACCGCACAACCCUGGAUUGCCCGCAAAACUGGUGUUUGGAAAAGUAUCAAACUGACCUCCCACUGGUAUUGGUCCUUGAAGAUUGUUGUAUGCAACACUGAAUGAAGACAAGAAAUGGAGACUCUUUAGGGAUGCUGGAAUUCCACCAGAGAGAUUAUUGCCAGAGAGGUCAAGCUUUUCCAAAUUAGUCAUAUUAGAAAUUUGGUCUGGUAUGUUGCCAUAGAAUCUGUUUAUGCUGAGAUCCAGCACAUGAAUAAACUUCAAUUGGCCAAUCUCAACGGGAAUAUCACCACCGAGGGUAUUGUUUCUCAAGUAUAUUGCUGGUGGCAGGCUGGCUAGCUGAUUGUAUUGCAGGUAAGACACGUUGUUGGGUCGAACAAAGACUGGCAACUCCAGAUAACUCUUGUCUACUUGAUCAGAACUCUGUUCUGAUGCUAGUCUUGGCAGUUGAGUAAGUGCCUUGGGGAAGCCUCCCCCAAGGAGGUUACUUGUCAAGUCUAAGUAGAAGAGGUUAGGAAGAGUCCCCAACCAACCUGGAAUUGAGCCUGUGAAUUGAUUGUACGACAGGUCUACUACCUCUAAGUUCUGGAGCUUAGCCAGCCAGGUUGGAAUCUGACCAGUGAAUAGGCAACCACCCAGACCCAGAACCUGAAGAUUCUUGAAUCCUUCUGAAUCCACUAUGCUCUCAUCAUCUGGCAUUGCUUCAUUAUAGAAAUUCCUUGUUAGGACCAUGGUGCUUAGAUUCUUGCAACCCAUGAGAAUCUUGAUUGCUCCAGUGAAAUUAGUCAGGUUAUUCAGAGACAGCGAGAGGAAGGAAAGUGAUUGUAACUCGACAAUGGCAGGCGGAAUUUGACCCUGCAGCUGGUUGUUGGCCAGUCGAACUGCGGUCAAGGAUUUACAUGAGAAAAGGCUUACUGGCAGGCCGCCGGUGAAGUUGUUGUCCCCAAGGUCCAGCGAAAUAAGUUGAGAGAGCGUCGAAAAGUUAAGGGAGGAGAGUUCACCUCUGAAGUAAUUCACCCUUAAAUUCAGUACCUUGAGUUUGGUGCAGUCGACCAGAGAUGGGGGUAGAGUGCCAAUCAGGUUGUUAACGUGCAGCUGCAGCUCUUCUAACAUCCUCAGCUUCCCAAUAUGCUGAGGAAUCAAGCCGUUCAAUCUGUUACCAAAGAUUUUGAUAAUUCUGAGGUUGGUGAGGUUAAUGAUUCUAUCAUCAAUGGGACCGGUGAGGGUAUUGCCGGGAAAAGAGAUUUCUUGGAGAGCCACGGCAUCAUAGAUGUCAGUGGGGAGCGACCCUGAUAGAUUGUUGAAACCUGCACGCAAGACCUCCAGUUUGGAACACAAUCCAAAUCCUUGGGGAAUCAGGCCGUAGAAGUCAUUGAGUGAAAAAUCCAGGAUCUUGACAGAUGGUGAAUUGGCACAAAUGGAAUCAGGAAUUGGGCCGAUGAAGCUGUUGUUGCUGAGAUUAAAAGCUGUCAAAUUCCAAGCUGACUGGAAAAAGGAAGAGCGUACUGUUCCAGUCAAGUGGUUGCCGGACAAAUUGACCGACUGGAUUGCAUCAGGCAGGCUAUCAGAUGACGGUAGGUGUCCAGACAGCCGGUUAU